AGUGAGUCUCCAAGUCAUGAAUACUGAGCCAAAUUGAUCUAUUUCUUGUGUGAGCUCAACUCUUCCUUCAAUCAGUUGGAUUGUCAUGUAUGUCAGACCAUCACUGAUAGACUCAUGAAACUUUAGAAGUUGAGUUUGUUCUUGUAACCAAGAUUGGCUCACUAUCUCUGCUUCUUCAUAGCUUUCUCUUUGUUGGGCUGCAAUCUCUAGGACAGUAAUUUCUAAUUGAAUAGCGUCGAGCGCAUCUCGUAGUGUCGUGAUUAUUUUUUUGCUCUUCCACACAUUCAAACAUUUGUUCA
rnacentral:lncRNA from 1 species